UAAAUGUUUUUUAAUUCUUCAAUAGCUUUCUUAUUUCCUUCACAA
rnacentral:antisense_RNA from 1 species